GACGAACGCUGGCGGCGUGCUUAACACAUGCAAGUCGAGCGGUAAGGCCCUUUCGGGGGUACACGAGCGGCGAACGGGUGAGUAACACGUGGGUGACCUGCCCUCAGCUCUGGGAUAAGCCUGGGAAACCGGGUCUAAUACUGGAUAUGACUCCAUGACGCAUGUUGUGGGGUGGAAAGCCUUGUGCGGCUGAGGAUGGGCCCGCGGCCUAUCAGCUUGUUGGUGGGGUGAUGGCCCACCAAGGCGACGACGGGUAGCCGGCCUGAGAGGGCGACCGGCCACACUGGGACUGAGACACGG
rnacentral:rRNA from 1 species